rnacentral:rRNA from 1 species
GACGUAGGGCGCGAGCGUUGUCCGGAUUUAUUGGGCGUAAAGAGCUCGUAGGCGGCUUGUCGCGUCGACUGUGAAAACCCGCGGCUCAACUGUGGGCUUGCAGUCGAUACGGGCAGGCUGGAGUUCGGUAGGGGAGACUGGAAUUCCUGGUGUAGCGGUGAAAUGCGCAGAUAUCGCUUGGAACGCCAACGGUGAAAACAGCUCGCUGGGGGUGUGCUGACGCUGAGACACGAAAGCCAGGGGAGCGAACGGG